rnacentral:rRNA from 1 species
UGAGCAAUCUGCCCUUCACAUCGGAAUAACCAUUGGAAACGAUGGCUAAUACCGAAUAUGACUUCGGAUCGCAUGAUCUGAAGUGGAAAGCUCCGGCGGUGAAGGAUGAGCUCGCGGCCUAUCAGCUUGUUGGUGAGGUAAUAGCUCACCAAGGCGAUGACGGGUAGCCGGCCUGAGAGGGCGACCGGCCACACUGGGACUGAGACACGGCAGA